rnacentral:rRNA from 1 species
UACAGAGGGUGCAAGCGUUAAUCGGAGUUAUUGGGCGUAAAGCGUGCGUAGGCUGAUAUUUAAGUUGGGUGUGAAAUCCCCGGGCUUAACCUGGGAAUUGCGCUCAAUACUGAAUAUUCUUGAGUAUGGUAGAGGAAAGCGGAAUUUCCGGUGUAGCGGUGAAAUGCGUAGAUAUCGGAAAGAACAUCAGCGGCGAAGGCGGCUUUCUGGACCAAUACUGACGCUGAGGUACGAAAGCGUGGGUA